ACGGCAUUCAUAUCACGUGCUAAUUUUUGAGCGGGAAGAAGAAACAAAGAACCCGAAGUCAAAGGCCACACUGUUUACUUCUGACCAUAACUGACCGUAACUUGACUGUUUCAGAAAGAUGAGAGAAGUGCAGAGGAAAUCAUCAUCUGUCUUGGCAUGCUAAAAGAGGAGAUAAAGAACAGUAGCAAAUAUGCUGCUAGGCCAUUGACCAGCAGUUGGGUUCUAAGAAAGAAGAAGCUCUUAUUGACCUGUAAAAUGAAAACAGGACAUUUUCAAAUUGUUUUGUUGUAGGGAUGGGGUACAAGUAGAAGAUUGGUCAAUAUUAUGUACAUGUACCUUGAUAUGAAUUUAUUUUUGAUUGUGUUCAAUGAUAAACUGGAAAUAAAUGAUAACAUAAAUU